CCCGGCUCAGCUCCCUGCACCGUAGUGACCCGGCCAGGGAGGGUGGGCAGCGCAGCCUGGCCUGCUUGUGUCCUGGCUCAAGGUUGUAGCAGAUCUGAAGCCUCCUGUGGGCAGGGUGUUGGGGUUCAUUUGACCUACAGCUUUUUCUCAGGGUUGUACCCUGCACGUAGAUGUGGUUGACGCCACGUGCUAUCUGCCUUCACACCCACAUAGUUCUUAGCCAUAGACUCAUAAAAGAUAAGGGUUGGAAAAGGCUGUCAUAGAGUCCAACCCCCUGCUCAAAGGAGGACCAACCCCAACUAAAUCCCAUGUGAGUUUCAGCCUUAUGUGCAAGCAGAGCGGUGCCAGUUCCCAGGCCCUAGCUGAGUUCUAAAGUAGUUCCUCUACUUUGCAGAUCAUCCCCCGCAACCUGUUUACCCAGCCCUGUCUUGCAUUCUGUGGGAGGGCACCCCACAGUGCAUUGCUUGGGAAACAUACAACCUGUCCUGCUGCCUGCCCCAGGCACCAGCAGAUGAGGCAGCCUUUGUAAGAUACUUCGCAUCUUUUGCCCGAAAACAUUCUCCAACCACGACCUGCUCCUGUGAUGCCACCAGGAGGACAUGGCCACUAUGAUUAUGAGAAGACGCUGGAGAUGGAUGAGAAGGGAGGCAGACACCAUCGUAAAGGUAGCACUUCACUGGACGCCUGAAGGAUGACGGAAACGUGGGAGGCCCAAGACAACAUGGCAGCGCACUGUUGCGGCAGACAUGAAGAGAAUGCAUUACAACUGGGGCACACUGGAGAAAAUGGCCAAAGACAAACAAAAAUGGAGAACCUUCAUUGCUGCCCUACAUGCCAGCGGACGUAAUAGGCAUUAAAUAACUAACUAUCAAAUAAAGCUUCCGUUACUGUUUCUGUAA